rnacentral:rRNA from 1 species
GACGAACGCUGGCGGCGUGCUUAACACAUGCAAGUCGAACGGUGAAGCGCCUUCCUUUUUGGUGGGUGUGGAUGAGUGGCGAACGGGUGAGUAACACGUCAGUAACCUGCCCCCUUCUUCUGGAUAACCGCAUGAAAGUGUGGCUAAUACGGGAUAUUCUGGGUCUGUCGCAUGAUGGGUCUGGGAAAGAUAUUGUUUCGGUGGGGGAUGGGCUCGCGGCCUAUCAGCUUGUUGGUGGGGUGAUGGCCUACCAAGGCGGUGACGGGUAGCCGGCCUGAGAGGGUGGACGGUCACACUGGGACUGAGACACGGCCCAGACUCCUACGGGAGGCAGCAGUGGGGAAUAUUGCACAAUGGGCGCAAGCCUGAUGCAGCGACGCCGCGUGAGGGAUGGAGGCCUUCGGGUUGUGAACCUCUUUCGCCAGUGAAGCAGGCCUGCCUCGUUUGUGGGUGGGUUGACGGUAGCUGGAUAAGAAGCGCCGGCUAACUACGUG